AAACCUUCUGGUUUCUCCAUGUAGAUUGUCUCUUCAAGGUCACCAUGUAAGAAAGCGGUCUUCACAUCCAUUUGUUCCAACUCAAGAUUGAAUUGAUUCACAAUAGCCAUAAGUAUCCUUAUGGAACAAUGUUUCACCACCGGUGAGAAGAUCUCAUUGUAGUCGAUCCCCUCCACUUGAGUGAAACCCUUGGCCACAAGUCUU
rnacentral:lncRNA from 1 species